AGCUCCAAUAGCAUAUAUUAACGUUGUUGCAGUUGAAAAGCUCGUAGUUGAACUUUUGGUAGGAGCGACCUGGCCUUGGGCGCAUGCCCUUGUUUGCCGUGUGUCGUGUCUGGCCAUCCUUUUCCGUUUCGGCGGGAAUCCUUUACUGUGAGUAAACUGGAGUGCUCAAAACAAGACGUUUGUUUGGUACAUUAAAGCAUGGAAUAAUAAGAUAGGACCUGGUUACUAUUUUGUUGGUUUGCAUAGCUAGGUAAUGAUUAACAGGGACAGUUGGGGGUAUUCGUAUUUAAUUGUCAGAGGUGAAAUUCUUGGAUUUAUGAAAGACGAACGACUGCGAAAGCAUUUACCAAGGAUGUUUUCA
rnacentral:rRNA from 1 species